AUACAAAUCACCUGGGGAACUUGUUAGACUACAGAUUUGUAUUCAGUAAAUCUCAGAUUCUGCUUUUCCAACAAGUUCCUGAGAUGUCAAA
rnacentral:miRNA from 1 species